rnacentral:rRNA from 1 species
UACGUAGGGGCUAGCGUUGUCCGGAUUUAUUGGGCGUAAAGAGCUUGUAGGCGGUCUGUCGCGUCUGCUGUGAAAUCCGGGGCUCAACCCCGGACUUGCAGUGGGUACGGGCAGACUAGAGUGUGGUAGGGGAGACUGGAAUUCCUGGUGUAGCGGUGAAAUGCGCAGAUAUCAGGAGGAACACCGAUGGCGAAGGCGGCUCUCUGGGACGGUACUGACGCUGAGACGCGAAAGCGUGGGAGCAAACAGG